CACAAAAAAACAAAAAAACCUUAACUCCCCCAUUUUUUUCUUUUUUCUUUUUCCCUCUCUUUUUCUUUCUUUUUUUGGGGAAGAGAAAAAAAAGCCAGAGUAUUUGAGGGUGCUGUGUGGAGGUCCUUUUUUUUUUUUUUUUAGUUGAGAGAGUAGGGUUUUGAUUCUUAGGGAGCAAGAUUUUUUUUGAGAAAAACAUGGAGAAGAGAGAACUGAGCAUUACUUGCUGGAAGCAGAGAGCUGAGAGAUAGCAUAGCAAUGAGAGUUCUUUUUUUUUUUUUUUUUUGAAAACAUUGCAUGUGAGUUGUGAAGAACUAGAGAGAGUGGAAGCCAGGAGAAUUCAUUUUUGAGGAUGGUGGAGUGACGACUGGUUCUGUGAGAGGGCAGAGCUAAGCUAAAGGGAGCAGCAACCGGUUUUGGGAGGAAGGAAGCCGAGUUUGAGGUUGGAGCAACACAUGAGAAAAAGAGUUGGAAUUACAAAGGCAAACUAAUGCUAGAAAGUACUCAAGCCUUCAUAGAGGUUGAAAUAUGAACAUAGCUGCGAGACUCGAGAUUUGGAUAUAUCAAAAGUAAGAGGUCAUGAACCUUGAUUACCACAUCCUUAUCAAGAUUUAGAUGGAUUGCAUCAAAUAAACCUCGAGAGUUGAUGUAUAUUUUAGUUUUUUUACUUGUGUUUUUUUAAUUUUAUAAAAUUUUGCACAUGUAAAUAUUUUUAGUUUGUUAUUUUUCUUUUUGUUUUGGAACUUAUCAUAUUUUUCAAAUAUGGAUUGUAAUGCUUGGUACCUUUAUUUGUAUAUGUGGAUAUAACAAAUAUUCUUUUGUAUUGGUGGCAA